GAUGAACGCUGGCGGCGUGCUUAACACAUGCAAGUCGAACGAUGAGGCCCAGCUUGCUGGGUGGAUUAGUGGCGAACGGGUGAGUAACACGUGAGUAACCUGCCCUUAACUCUGGGAUAAGCCUGGGAAACUGGGUCUAAUACCGGAUAGGAGCGCCUACCGCAUGGUGGGUGUUGGAAAGAUUUAUCGGUUUUGGAUGGACUCGCGGCCUAUCAGCUUGUUGGGGAGGUAAUGGCUCACCAAGGCGACGACGGGUAGCCGGCCUGAGAGGGUGACCGGCCACACUGGGACUGAGACACGGCCCAGACUCCUACGGGAGGCAGCAGUGGGGAAUAUUGCACAAUGGGCGAAAGCCUGAUGCAGCGACGCCGCGUGAGGGAUGACGGCCUUCGGGUUGUAAACCUCUUUCAGUAGGGAAGAAGCGAAAGUGACGGUACCUGCAGAAGAAGCACCGGCUAACUACGUG
rnacentral:rRNA from 1 species